rnacentral:lncRNA from 1 species
GUGUGUGUGGUUUUUUUUAAAUAAUGGGGAGAAUUUGGAAAAUAGCUAGUUAUUCAUAGAAGGGGAAAUGGAAGAUAAUUAUGCUUUUUGCAGCACAGAAAUAGAUAAAUCUAUUGUCUUCUGUACACUCAGUUGAACAUUAUGCAGCCAUUAUGUGUGGUAUUUGAAAAAAAAGUAUUGGCAGAGGGUAAUGCUUAUGAAAUAGAAUGUGAAAAAUAGAAUACAAAAUUAUAUUUAUGAUAUGAUCUCAAUUGUAUAUAUGGGUGUUUAAGUUCACAAACUUAAGGUUUCCAGAUAUAAGGACCUAGGUUGGUUUGUUCACUGCUCAGCCACCAGCCUGGAACAUAGUAAGUACUCUAUAAAUACUUGGGAAGUGCUUGAAAAACGUAUAUAAAAAGCUGAAAAUAAAUACAUCAUUACUAGUUGUAAGAUUGCAGAAUAUUUGAUUUCCUCUUUUUCUUUUUCACAUCUCCUACAGGGGGCGUGUAAUCACUCUGUGACUGGUGGCUGCAGGCUCUCCUAAUGGAUAUUUCCUAUUUACAGGGCUACCAACUGCCAAGCAUCCAAGCAGUCCCUAGGCAGCAAUCCAGCAGCUGACAGGGUUACCGGCGUCAACUGCCACAGAUGCUAGGCUGGUUUGCCAUAUUUACAUGGAUUUGAUCAGCAAUGAGCACAAAAGAUAGAGAUUGUUUCUUUCUUUCUUUUUUUUGAGGUGGAGUUUUACUCUUGUUGCCCACGCUGGAGCGCAAUAGUGAGAACCCAUUUCUAAAAAUAAAAUAAAUAAAAUAAUAAUAAAGCCGAUUAGG